CAUUCGAAAUUUGGCCUUUGAAGAUGCCAAGAGGCUAGCCUUUACUUUCCCCCCAUUUUCAUCCUGAAGACGCAUGUGCCGUGCUCAAAUUAAUCACACACAGAAUAUACGUGAUGCUCUUGAACUUGUAGGUGUGCAAAGAGACAGGUAAAAGGACAUUAGAAAUUUGGCUUAUGAAGAUGCCAAGAGGUUAGUCUUGCCCUUUACCAUGUACACCAUUACCUAAGUACCAAUGUGGAGCUCAAAUUAAGCACCCGCUGUAUAUGUGAUGCUCUUUAAUUUACAGGUGUCCGAAGAUGCCAAGAGUUAGCCCGUUCCCUUUUCUCCAUUUUCAACAAGGAAACAGAAGUGCCAAUACUGAGCUCAGAUUACCACACAUAGAAUAUAAGUGAUGCUCUUUAAUUUGCAGGUGUGCAAACAGACAGGUAGAAGAACAUUCGAAGCUGUGCCUUUGAAGAUGCCAAGAGGUGUUAGCCGCUCUCUUUUCUUCAUUUUCAGCCUGGAAACAAAGCUGCCCAUACUGAGCUCAAAUUAAGCAAACACACUAUAUAAGUGACGUUGUUUAAUUUGUAGGGACAGGUAGACGAACAUUGGCCUUUGAAGACGCUUUCCUUCAUUUUGAGCCAGAAAAUAGGAAAUAAAAAUACUCAUAUCGAGUUCAAAUUAGGUACACUAACUCAAGCGAUCCUUUUCUCUAUUUUCAGUCAGAAAACAAGUGUCCAUACUGAGCUGAUAUUAAGUACGCACACACUAUAAUUGAAGCUCUUUAAUUUGCAGGUGUGCAAAGGGACAGGUAGAAGAACAUUGGAAAUUUGGCCUUUGAAGACGCCAAGAGGUGGAAAGAGACAAGGGGAAGAACCUUCGAAACGUGGCCUUUGAAGAUGAGGUCAGAAAGAGGGCGAGGUGCGGACAGAGCGACGUAGGUGAACCCUCGAAAUUUGGCUUUUGCAAAUGCAAAGAGAAAUCAAGAUCAAAUAUUCACAGAUAUUUCCCCAAUGAUGGUUUCUGUUUGGCAGGCUGAAUUGGGAAG